CUGGUUGAUCCUGCCAGUAGUCAUAUGCUUGUCUCAAAGACUAAGCCAUGCAUGUCUAAGUAUAAAUGUUAUACAGUGAAACUGCGAAUGGCUCAUUAAAACAGUUAUAGUUUAUUUGAUAAUCGAAUUUACAUGGAUAACCGUGGUAAUUCUAGAGCUAAUACAUGCUGGUUAGCCUGACUUCGAGGAAGGGCUGUAUUUAUUAGAUAACAAACCAAUAUUCUUCGUGUCUAUUGUGAUGACUCAUAAUAACUGAUCGAAUCGCGUGGUCCUUGACCGCGAUAAAUCAUUCAAGUUUCUGCCCCAUCAGCUUUCGAUGGUAGUGUAUUGGACUACCAUGGCUUUAACGGGUAACGGAGGAUUAGGGUUCGAUUCCGGAGAGGGAGCCUGAGAAACGGCUACCACAUCUAAGGAAGGCAGCAGGCGCGUAAAUUACCCAAUCCUGACUCAGGGAGGUAGUGACAAGAAAUAACGGACCGAGGCUUUGCUUCGGGAUUGCAAUGAGUAGAAUUUAAACCCCUUUACGAGGAUCCAUUGGAGGGCAAGUCUGGU
rnacentral:rRNA from 1 species